rnacentral:rRNA from 1 species
UACGUAGGGUGCAAGCGUUAAUCGGAAUUACUGGGCGUAAAGCGUGCACAGGCGGUUUUGUAAGUCUGAUGUGAAAUCCCCGGGCUCAACCUGGGAAUUGCAUUGGAGACUGCAAGGCUAGAAUCUGGCAGAGGGGGGUAGAAUUCCACGUGUAGCAGUGAAAUGCGUAGAGAUGUGGAGGAACACCGAUGGCGAAGGCAGCCCCCUGGGUCAAGAUUGACGCUCAUGCACGAAAGCGUGGGGAGCAAACAGG